rnacentral:rRNA from 1 species
GAUGAACGCUGGCGGCGUGCUUAACACAUGCAAGUCGAGCGGAGCGGCGAACGGGUGAGUAACGCGUGAGUAACUGCACCCCUCUCUGGGAUAACAGUUGGAAACGGCUGCUAAUACCGGAUAGUGGGGGAUGACUCGCGUCCUAUGAGCUUGUUGGUGGGGUAGUGGCCGACCUAGGCGACGACGGGUAGCCGGCCUGGGAGGGGGACCGGCCACAAUGGGCUGAGGUAGGGCGCAAACUCGAACAGUGGGCAGUGGGGGCGAAUAUUGCGCAGCGGUGGAGACCGUAUUGCGGCAACGCCGGGGUCGGAAAGUAGGCUUUGGGGUGGUAAAGGGCUUUCGGCCAUGACGCGGUAGUGGCAGAAGAAGCACCGGCUAACUACGUGCCAGCAGCCGCGGUAAUAC